rnacentral:rRNA from 1 species
GCGCACGGGUGAGUAAGGCGCAGUUAACCUGCCCAUAGCAGGGGGAUAACCACGCGAAAGCGUGGCUAAACCCGCAUAAUGCAGCGGGGCCGCAUGGUCACAGUUGUUAAAUUUUUCGGAAGGCUAUGGAGGGGGUUGCGUGCUAUUAGCUGGUUGGUAGGGUAACGGCCUACCAAGGCGAUGAUAGCUAGGGGGUCUGAGAGGAUGAUCCCCCACACUGGGACUGAGACACGGCCCAGACUCCUACGGGAGGCAGCAGUGAGGAAUCUUGCGCAAUGGAUGGAAGUCUGACGCAGCCACGCCGCGUGAAGGAAGACGGCCCUACGGGUUGUAAACUUCUUUUGGCCGGGAAGAAGGCUUGGGUUUUGAUCUGAGUUGACGGUACCGGUUGAAUAAGCACCGGCUAACUCCGUGCCAGCAGCCGCGGUAAUACGGAGGGUGCAAGCGUUGUCCGGAAUCACUGGGUGUAAAGGGUGCGUAGGCGGGCGUCUGCGUCGGGGGUGAAAUCUUGCCGCUCAACGGUAAAAUGGCCUUCGAUAC